AAUCAGAAUCAGAGUCAGUCUGCAGGAAGACAGGGUGCUCAGUCAGAGUAUAUGCCUCUGCAAAAAAGAUGUACAGAUGACUAUGAAACCCUCACACCCUUGUAUAUGCCACUGCAGAAAGGUGCUACAGAUGUCUAUGAAACAAUUAAAUCAUCCAAGGACUAUCAAGAAGAUUAUGAGGAGGGAUAUGACGAUGUGGAUGUCACUGAUAUUUGAGAAAAUGAAAAAUAUGUAACUUGAACAGUGAGGGGGAAAGAAAUAGAGGUAAGGACAUAGAAUGUCCACUGAAUAUUUGAAAGUUGAAUGAUGCAUGGUUCACUGGAUGAGGAAUUAUAAAAGAAGUAUGAUGUAAGUUAUGCCAGUAUCAUAAACAUGCUAAUUACCAACCACUUCGUUCGAAAAUUCUUAAAACAACAAUGUUUUUUAAUACUUCAAAAUAACAUUUGCUAAAUGAACCUAGUGCCUGGUGAGUCAGAGUCAGCCUGGAAGCACCCCAUAGAGCCCAGAGCCUCCAAGUGGUGCAAUCUGUCCCUCCAGUCAUGCAGCCCGAGAAGAGGAGGAUCAGGUGGCCUCAAGCAUGUAAAAUAAUUCAGUGGAAAUGGAUGGAUUCAGUUGCUUC